GUGGGGAAUAUUGCGCAAUGGGCGAAAGCCUGACGGAGCAACGCCGCGUGAGUGAAGAAGGUCUUCGGAUCGUAAAGCUCUGUCAACAGGGACGAAACAAGACGGUACCUGAGAAGGAAGCCACGGCAAACUACGUGCCAGCAGCCGCGGUAAUACGUAGGUGGCAAGCGUUGUCCGGAAUAACUGGGCGGAAAGCGCAUGUAGACGGCAUGAUAAGCCAAAUGUGAAAUGUAGGGGCUCAACCCCUAACCUGCGAUUGGAACUGUAAAGCUUGAGUGCAGGAGAGGUAAAUGGAAUUCCCAGUGUAGGAGUGAAAUGCGUAGAGAUUGGGAGGAACACCAGUGGCGAAGGCGAUUUGCUGGACUGCAACUGACGUUGAGAUGCGAAAGCCAGGGGAGCAAACGGGAUUAGAUACCCGGUAGUCC
rnacentral:rRNA from 1 species